rnacentral:lncRNA from 1 species
UUUGUCAUCUUCAUGUUCAGCUUGAGAAGGUUCACUCUCAUUAUUUUUGUCUGAAAAUUAGCUGGGGGAUCAGUUAGAGAUGUCUCAACAUCGUCUGUGACAUCAGUCUGUUGAUCAUCAACCACAAUAUUGAUAGAUUCCAUCAUUACUUUUGUUCUGGAAUUAAAGACUAUAUAUGCUUUGCUGUUUGUUGAGUAGCCCAGAAAUAUUCCUUCAUCACUUUUGG